UACGUAGGGGGCAAGCGUUGUCCGGAUUUAUUGGGCGUAAAGCGCUCGCAGGUGGUUCGUCGCGUCGUGCGUGAAAGACCCCGGCUCAACUGGGGAGGGUCGUGCGAUACGGGCGAACUGGAGGCCAGUAGGGGGAUGCGGAAUUCCGGGUGUAGUGGUGGAAUGCGUAGAGAUCCGGAGGAACACCAGCGGCGAAGGCGGCAUCCUGGACUGGUCCUGACACUCAGGAGCGAAAGCGUGGGGAGCGAGCCGG
rnacentral:rRNA from 1 species